rnacentral:rRNA from 1 species
ACGGAAGGCAGCAGUGGGGAAUAUUGCACAAUGGGGGAAACCCUGAUGCAGCGAUGCCGCGUGGAGGAAGAAGGUUUUCGGAUUGUAAACUCCUGUCUUAAAGGACGAUAAUGACGGUACUUUAGGAGGAAGCUCCGGCUAACUACGUGCCAGCAGCCGCGGUAAUACGUAGGGAGCGAGCGUUGUCCGGAAUUACUGGGUGUAAAGGGAGCGUAGGCGGGACUGCAAGUCAGAUGUGAAAUGCCGGGGCGUAACCCCGGAGCUGCAUUUGAAACUGUGGUUCUUGAGUGAAGUAGAGGCAAGCGGAAUUCCUGGUGUAGCGGUGAAAUGCGUAGAUAUCAGGAGGAACACCGGUGGCGAAGGCGGCUUGCUGGGCUUUUACUGACGCUGAGGCUCGAAAGCGUGGGUAGCAAACAGGAUUAGAUACCCUGGUA